GUGAGGCAGGCACCGUAAUAAUUGCUCCAUAACCAGCUGGCAAGAAAAUCCAAGCUCGUAAUUAGUAAUCAUCAUGAAACAGCUUUCUUGGCUGACAGCACAGAAACCAAAACAGUAGAUGUGCUGGUUCCGGCUGCUGAGGGCCAGGGUCUGCAGACCUGCCCUGUGAAGCUUACGUGGCCUGCCAGACUUCAUGCUCGGCAGGUCCCGUGGCCUCCUGGGGCUGUUUCUUUGAGGUAUAAAGAGGGUGGACCAGAUGCAGUUGUUUCAAAUUGCUUUCUGAGGGUCUUCCUCCUGGGCUGGACUAGGUCAGGGGGCUUUCAUCCUCCAUCAAUCAGGCCAACAAGUCUAUUCUAUAAACUGGGGUCCACAUUCAAUUUUAUUUGAACAAAAUGUUCUAUCAGCCUGAAAACUGCUAGGAAGGUCUCUAAGGCCUUCUGGCUCUGAGCCUGCAAUUCCAAUGCUUGUUAGCAGAUUUGUUUGUCCAGCUGUUGGUGUCUCUUCUUCCUGGCUUUGCCGCUCAGCCCUGGGCUUUCCAGAACUUUCUAGGGAUCUCCUAAGAGGGCAAGCGGGUGGUACUUUCUGUAUUUUAAUAUUGUGUUAGAAUCUGGGACAUCUGAUUGCUGAAAUGAGAUGUUAGUUGGUACAGGCAGGGGUUUCCAGGACCGGCACGCCCUUGCGGAGUGCCUGCUGGAGGGAGCCGGUGUGUCCAGGACGCCCUUGCGGAGUGUCUGCUGGAGGGAGCCGGUGUGUCAGUGAGAUGGCUAUGCCCCUGGGCUGCUGCGUCCCAGGUUUCCUCAGUCUCUAACCCUUUGUUCUCACAGGGGAUGGACUCUUCCUUCUUUUCCCAACUCCACCAAGAGGGACCGUCCCAGGACGUCCUUCCCUGGGCAUCCGGCCCUACAGCUGCCUGAGGUCUCCAUCACCGUUGGCGCCAUCAGUCUGCUGUGCAGCCAGCUGUUGGUUUGGAGAGCCUGAAGAACUGCAGUUCACGUCUCAUCUAAAGGAGCUGAAAUGAUAUUGCAGCUUUCUCUUUUGGUUGCGUGCGGUGAGAAUCUGGGAGCUGAACCUGUUAUCUGCAUGGUCUUCAGAAAUCAGGCAAACUCGGAAAAUGCCAACGCCAAAAAUGCUGAUGGGUGACAAAGUGUCACAGGUGUGAUGCAUUACAAAUCUCAGGACUUUUGUUCACUGGAUUUGAAAGGUCAAGCUUCACAGGAAAAUGAUGAAGUCCCAAAAGACCAGAAAUAUAUUUCAGAAGAUGCCAGUUACUGCUUUAAAAUGUCAAACCAACAUUUCAGAAAUAACUUUCAAUAAUUAUUUCCUGCCAAGAAGGUGAACGCUGGAGACCUUAAUGGUGGAAGAUGGAGGGCGUCUUUCCUUCUGUUAAGCUGACAACUUGGCUUCCAUCUUGUGAGGACCUCACCCUACCUGGUGGCAGAGGACGUCUGACACCCUCAAUCAUUGCCAUUACACUUCCCAGCCUGGUGGUCAGUCUCCUGGGGUCUGUGUGUUAACAAACCAUCGACUGGACAAUCGCAGUUUUCCUUAUGAAGGCUUACUUUAAAAAGGCUCUGGAUUUUCAGAAGUGAAGUCGCUUUCAUCCCCGAUUCAGACCCAUCCUCGUGGAGGAAAAAUCCUACCAGAAGAAGGGCUGACCAUAGGAACUUGCCAUUUCCUUGACCCCAUCAUAUCUGAGGAAAAAACAACAGAAAAGCCGUUGCCCGAGCCACGUGUUGAGGAUGACGGCAUCGCGUUCUUUCUGCCCAGGACCUCAGAGUGGGCGUCCGGUCUCCUGUGUGGGAUGAGAAUACACGCCCUCCUUUCAAUCGCUGCAGACCUCAGAGUGGACGUCCGGUCUCCUGUGCGGGAUGAGAAUACACACCUUCCCUUCCACCGCUGCAGACCUCAGAGUGGACGUCCGGUCUCCUGUGUGGGAUAAUACACGCCCUCCUUUCAAUCGCUGCGGACCUCAGAGUGGGCGUCCGGUCUCCUGUGCGGGACAAGAAUACACUCCUUCCCUUCCAUCGCUGCAGACCUCAGAGUGGACGUCCGGUCUCCUGUGGGGGAUGAGAUACACUCCUUCCCUUCCACUGCUGCAGACCUCAGAGUGGACGUCCGGUCUCCUGUGUGGGAUGAGAAUACACGCCUUCCCUUCCACUGCUGCAGACCUCAGAGUGGACGUCCGGUCUCCUGUGUGGGAUGAGAUACACUCCUUCCCUUCCAUCGCUGCAGACCUCAGAGUGGACGUCCGGUCUCUCUGUGCGGGCCAAGUGUACACAGUUUUGUUCCGUCACAACUUCCACAACAGGCCAGUGUGAGGUUUUUGAGCUGGUGCUGACUGAAAACUGUCAGCUGCCCAAGGACCUGGGAGCUCUGCUCCCCACUCCUGGUGUGCGGGCUUGCGCCUGGCCUCCCUGCCUAGGUUACAUGCAGUGGUCAUCCCGGUCGCUCCCACACCCGUGUGGGCUCUGGGAUCCCCCCUUCCAGCCAGCCCAGGGGACAUCUGGCUGUCUCAGGACCCAGCCAUCUGUAAAAAUUAGGCAGGUCCCUUUAGUAUGCUCCUGGUCAACAAAGAAAAACUUCAAUUUUGAGAAUGGCAUCUGUAUUCCGAAGUGUUCUCUCAGAUGUUUGAGUUCCACUAAGUAGGUAGGAAGUGGCAGUGUUGCUGUUUAAUGGAUUGGUAAUUUUUGAAUAUUUCUUAAACAUUUUUAUUUGUGUUUUUUUGGAUUGAAAUUUAUGUAAUUUGUUACUAUCUGUUAGACUCUUGGUGUUUCUCUUACUGACUGAACCAUAAGAAUACUAACUCCUUUUCAUAUUUCUUGCAUAUAUUUUUCCAUAUUACUGUUUCCCUUUUGAUUUAGCUUGUGGUUUCUGACAUGGUUUCUCAGUCUCACCCUCCUCCACAUUUUGUCUACUCUCAACCCCUCACCCAUCAUGUCUCGGCUUCUGUCCCCUUUAUGCUUCAAUCUCAUCCCCUCCACUGUGUCUGUGUCAUCACUACAGUGUGUCUCAGCCUUAGCUCCCCCACUGUGUCUGUCCCAACUCCCCAUUGUGUCUCAGUCUCACCGCACAUUGUGUCUCAGUCUCACCCCCCAUUGUGUCUCAGUCUCACCCCCACAUUGUUUCUCAGUCUCACCUCCCCAUUGUGUCAGUCUCACCCCCCGCAUUGUGUCUGUCUCAUCCCCCCAUUGUGUCUCAGUCUCACCCCCCAUUAUGUCUGUCUCAAUUCCCCAUUGUGUCUCAGUCUCACCCCCCAUUGUGUCUGUCCCAACUCCCCAUUGUGUCUCAGUCUCACCCCUCAUUGUGUCUCUGUCUCACCCCCCCGCAUUGUGUCUCUGUCUCACCCCCCAUUGUGUCUGUCUCAACUCCCCAUUGUGUCUCUGUCUCACCCCCCAUUGUGUCUGUCUCAACUCCACACUGUGUCUCAGUCUCACCCCCACAUUGUGUCUGUCUCAUCCCCCCCAUUGUGUCUCAGUCUCACCCCCCCAUUGUAUCUCAGUCUCACCCCCCGCAUUGUGUGUCUGUCUCAUCUCCCCCACUGUGUCUCGGUCUCAUUUCUCCGAUUGUGUCUCUGUUUUGUCCCCCUUAUUGUGGGGGUCUUGUCCCCCUUUUUAUGUCUCUGUCAUUCCUUUCCUAAUAUGUAUUCAGGGGCCUGGGGUUGGUUUUUACUGACAAGAGCAUCUGCAGAGCUGAGUAGCCCAUGAAGAAAGCAUGUUUCCCUGGGUCCCCGCAGAACUCCAAUCACUGUGGCACCACUGUGAAGAUCUUGGGGGUCUGGUGCUGUUCCUCACUCGGGGGAGCAGUGAGUCCAUGUUCUCACCAACUGGGAGAGGAAGCGUGGGCAGAUAGUGUGGGUGGAAAAUGUUUGCUUCAUUUGACAUUGGCGUCAAGCCAGAUCUGUGUGCCAUUUGAGAACACAAUGAUCUGAAUGAAAAGAGCUCCUAAAAACAAAACCUGAAAAUUUUUCUCUGUGGAAGAGCCCUCAGUUAUUAUUUCACCUUCCCUAGUGGUUGCUACAGCAACAAGCAUCUUGUGUGAUGCCUGACAGGAAGAGCCCAGAGACCUGAUUGAAGAACAGAUCAUUGCUUCACUUUAAAUAAGGUUUUGCAGCCAGGCGUGGUGGCUCAUGCCUGUAAUCCCAGCACUUUGGGAGAGUGAGGCGGGUGGAUCACUUGAGGUCAGGCAUUCAUGACCAGCCUAGCCAACAUCAUGAAAUCCUGUCUCUACAAAAAAUACUAAAAUUAGCCAGGUGUGGUGACACGCGCCUGUAAUCCCAGUUACUUGGGAGGCUGAGAGGCACGAGAAAUCUCUUGAACCCGGGAUGGGGAGGCUGCAGUGAGCCAAGAUUGUGCUACUGCACUCCAGCCUGCGCAACAGAGUGAGACUUCGUGUAAAAAAAAAAAUUAGGCUUUGCUUUUUUCUCAUGGAAUUAAAUAUUUUCAAAUGUAUUUCCAACAAAAUGAACUAAUUUUUCUAAUCUUUUUUCCCUUCUAAUAUCUAUAUUUUAAGCUACAAAUUUUCUUGCAAGGAUUCCUUUAGUUGCAUCCUACAAAUUUUGAUGUGUUUUUCUUCGCAUUCAGCUCAACAUAUUUUGAAAUUUCUCGUGAUUUCUUCUUUGAUAUAUUUAGAUAUGCAUUACUUAACUUCAAAUAUUUGGCAUUUUUAUGUUAUUAAUUUCUAGUGCAAUUUAAUUAUGGUCAGAGCCUACUCUGUAUCAUUUCAUUCCUCUGGAAUUUAUCAGGACUUGAUUUAUGGUCUAGUAUAUGGUCCAUUUUGGUGAAUGUUCAUGUGCACUUGAAAAAAAUAUGGAUUCUGCAGUUGUUGGGUGAAAUGUUCUCUGUGUGCUCUCAAGUUGGUUAAUAUUGUUAGUUAAUAUUAUUGUUUGAAUGUUCUAUAUUCUUACAGAUUUUCUUAGUCUGCUGUAUCAAUGACACAGAGAGAUGUGCAUUAAAACCUCAACCAUGUGGAUCUAUUUCUUUUCAGUUAAUUUUGCUUCAUGUAUCUUGAAGCUCUGUUAUCAGGUGCAUGCACAUUUGGGAUUGUUAUGCUUCCCUGAUGAACUGACCUUCUUUCAUUAUGCAAGGGGAAGAAGAUGCUGCAUACAGGAUGGAAUAUCCAGGGGAAGACGUCUAAGGAGAGACACCCAGCUGGAAGUCAAGAUAUGUCAGUUGUUUCCAUUAUAAUAAAACCACUCAUGUUAGAUGAGCUGAACUUUCCCUUUUCCCCAGUUCUUAUGAUCAAAAAGUGGCUGUCCUAAAUUUCCUCACUCAAUAUCCUUGCUAGAGUCUUCCUUUGUCAGCCAGGCUGGAGUGCAAUGUGCAAUGGCACAAUCUUGGCUCACUGCAACCUCUGUCUCCUGGGCUCAAGCAAUUCUUCUGCCUCAGCCUCCUGAGUAGCUGGGAUUACAGGUAUGCACCACCAUGCCCAACUAAUUUUUGUAUUUCUGUAGAGACAAGGUUUCACCAUGUUGGCCAGGCUGGUCUCGAUCCUGACCUCAGGUAAUCUGCCCACCUUGGCCUCCCAAAGUGCUGGGAUUACAGACAUGAGCCAUCAUGCCCAGACAUAAGUGAGUUUUAUAUUGUAUUAUAACACUAUGAUACAGUAAAACCAUGAAAUCCAAAUUUAUAAUAAUAUCACCCUACAUAAUACAACUGUAACCUCACCGCCCUAUCCUGGGAUGUGUGUCAUUUUUAUAGCCAAUUAUGGUCCCCAGCUUUAGUUUUCUUUUGCUUAUUGGAGAGUGUAAUUCUCCCUUAUUCUUUUUGCUUUCUACAGUCUUGUGUACAUCAGUUAUCUGUUUUUGUCCUUUUGCCAGUGUUCAAAGUGUUAUUUUUCCUAUUUACUUAAGCUCCUGCAGGGAGAUUAGAAUUUCUUCCCCUAAGAAGAAAUAAGUAAUAGUGGAGACCUGCUGGGCACUGGUGGCGCCAGGCCUGGCUCCGGGGCUGCCCAUCCAUCCUCACAGCAUGGCGA